rnacentral:tRNA from 1 species
UGGUAAAACCCUAGCCUUCCAAGCUAAC